UACCCUUGACAUGUCCGGAAUCCUGCAGAGAUGCGGGAGUGCCCGAAAGGGAAUCGGAACACAGGUGCUGCAUGGCUGUCGUCAGCUCGUGUCGUGAGAUGUUGGGUUAAGUCCCGCAACGAGCGCAACCCUUAUCAUUAGUUGCUACGCAAGGGCACUCUAAUGAGACUGCCGGUGACAAACCGGAGGAAGGUGGGGAUGACGUCAAGUCCUCAUGGCCCUUAUGGGUAGGGCUUCACACGUCAUACAAUGGUCGGUACAGAGGGUUGCCAAGCCGCGAGGUGGAGCCAAUCCCAGAAAGCCGAUCGUAGUCCGGAUUGUUCUCUGCAACUCGAGAGCAUGAAGUCGGAAUCGCUAGUAAUCGCGGAUCAGCAUGUCGCGGUGAAUACGUUCCCGGGUCUUGUACACACCGCCCGUCACAACCAUGGGAGGAUGAAGUAGGUAGCCUAACCGCAAGGGGGGCGCUACCACGUGUG
rnacentral:rRNA from 1 species